GGGUAAAUUAGGUUAAUUUCGAAUUUUUUUUGGUGGUUACGAGGUCAGUCAAAUUUAUCGAUCCUAUUUUGAGAUAGGGCAGAGAAAAUAACAGAUAAACUAUAAAGUUUUACUG